rnacentral:rRNA from 1 species
AGUGGUCAGGAUGAUUAUUGGGCUUAAAGCAUCCGUAGCCGGCUUGUUUAGUUUUCGGUAAAAUCCAUGUGCUCAACGCAUGGGCCGCCGAAAAUACUGCAUGGCUAGGAAGUGGGAGAGGUAGACGGUACUCAGUAGGAAGGGGUAAAAUCCUUUGAUCUAUUGAUGACCACCUGUGGCGAAGGCGGUCUACCAGAACACGUUCGACGGUGAGGGAUGAAAGCUGGGGGAGCAAACCGGAUUAGAUACCCGGGUAGUCCCAGCUGUAAACGAUGCAGACUCGAUGAUGCAUUGGCAUAAUAGCCAAUGCAGUGUCGCAGGGAAGCCGUUAAGUCUGCCGCCUGGGAAGUACGUACGCAAGUAUGAAACUUAAAGGAAUUGGCGGGGGAGCACCACAAGGGGUGAAGCCUGCGGUUCAAUUGGAGUCAACGCCAGAAAUCUUACCCGGAGAGACAGCAGAAUGAAGGUCAAGCUGAAGACUUUACCAGACAAGCUGAGAGGUGGUGCAUGGCCGUCGCCAGCUCGUGCCGUGAGAUGUCCUGUUAAGUCAGGUAACGAGCGAGAUCCCUGCCACUAGUUGCUAUCAUUAUUCUCAGGAAUAGUGGGGCGAAUUAGUGGGACUGCCGUUGUUAAAACGGAGGAAGGAAGGGGCUACGGCAGGUCAGUAUGCCCCGAAACUCUGGGGCCACACGCGGGCUGCAAUGGUAGUGACAAUGAGUUCCAAACUCGAAAGAGAGUGGCAAUCUCUAAACGCUACCACAGUUAUGACUGAGGGCUGUAACUCGCCCUCACGAAUAUGGAAUCCCUAGUAACCGCGUGUCAUUACCGCGCGGUGAAUACGUCCCUGCUCCUUGCACACACCGCCCGUCGUUUCAUCGAAGUUUGCUUUUAGCGAGGUGAUGUUUAAUGGCCAUAUCGAACUGA